rnacentral:tRNA from 1 species
GCAGUCGUGGCCCGAGUGGUUAAGGCGAUGGACUCGAAAUCCAUGGGGUUUCCCCGCACAGGUUCGAAUCCUGUCGGCUGCG